rnacentral:rRNA from 1 species
AUUGAACGCUGGCGGCAGGCCUAACACAUGCAAGUCGAACGAGCGGCGGACGGGUGAGUAAUGUCUGGGAAACUGCCCGAUAGAGGGGGAUAACUAAUGGAAACGGUAGCUAAUACCGCAUACUAUCGGAGGGGCCCAGAUGGGAUUAGCUAGUAGGUGGGGUAAAGGCUCACCUAGGCGACGAUCGCUAGCUGGUCUGAGAGGAUGACCCGCCACACUGGGACUGAGACACGUGCCAGACUCCUACGGGAGGCAGCAGUGGGGAAUAUUGCACAAUGGGCGCAAGCCUGAUGCAGCCAUGCCGCGUGUAUGAAGAAGGCCUUCGGGUUGUAAAGCACUUUCAUCGGGGAGGCGUUACCCGCAGAAGAAGCACCGGCUAACUCCGUGCCAGCAGCCGCGGUAAUAC